ensembl:snoRNA
CGUCUUUGGCCUGGGUAGAGUGGCACCUGGUUGGUGGUGCCCAUCUUAUUAUCAGCCAGGGACGAAGCAACCCCUUGUUCAUCCCAGCUUAGCUUUUGAUCUGUACCCAUACCUGGUUCAUGCCUUGGACACAUGG